GAUGAACGCUGGCGGCGUGCCUAAUACAUGCAAGUCGAGCGAACAGACGAGGAGCUUGCUCCUCUGACGUUAGCGGCGGACGUGUGAGUAACACGUGGAUAACCUACCUAUAAGACUGGGAUAACUUCGGGAAACCGGAGCUGAUACCGGGUAAUAUAUUGAACCGCAUGGUUCAAUAGUAAAAGACGGUUUUGAUGUCACUUAUAGAUGGAUCCGCGCCGCAUUAGCUAGUUGUGAAGGUAACGGUUUACAAAGGCAACGAUGCGUAGCCGACCUGAGAGGGUGAGAGGCGACACUGGAACUGAGACACGGUCCAGACUCCUACGGGAGGCAGCAGGCGCGGAUCUUCCGCAAUGGGCGAAAUCCUGACGGAUCAACGCCGCGUGAGUGAUGAAGGUCUUCGGAUCGUAAAACUCUGUUAUUAGGGAAGAACAAAUGUGUAAGUAACUAUGCACGUCUUGACGGUACUUAAUCAGAAAGCCACGGCUAACUACGUG
rnacentral:rRNA from 1 species